UACGACUACAUAUCAGGCAUAUCAAUAAGCGGAGGAAAAGAAACUAACUAGGAUUCCCUUCAGUAACGGCGAGUGAAGCGGGAAGAGCUCAAAUUUGAAAUCUUCAAGGUUCUACCUUGACGAAUUGUAGUUUAAAGAAGUGUUUUCUGUUGGUAGUUUUGGUAAAAGUUCUUUGGAAUAGGACAUCAUAGAGGGUGAGAAUCCCGUAUUUGACCAUUUACUUCCAGCUGUGUGAUACACUUUCAAAGAGUCGGAUUGUUUGGGAAUGCAGUCCAAAAUGGGUGGUAAAUUUCAUCUAAAGCUAAAUAUUGGCGAGAGACCGAUAGCGAACAAGUACUGUGAGGGAAAGAUGAAAAGAACUUUGAAAAGAGAGUUAAACAGUACGUGAAAUUGUCAAAAGGGAAGCGUUUGACACCAGUGUUGUUUUCUCGAAAAUCAAUUAAAAAUGACCGGAUUUUGUGUUGUAUUGACUUUAUCAGCUUUCUGCACUUUUUUCUUGUCUUUUUUAAUGCACUUUUCGUUUAACAAGUCAACAUCAAUUUCUUUUGUUGUAAAAGAGUCAUUGGAAGGUGGCUUUCACUUCGGUGAAAGUGUUUAUAGCCUUUGACUUCUGCAAUCGGAGAGAUUGAGGUCUGCAGCGUAGAUCCUUCGGGGUUAGAUACAUUUGUGCUAAGUUAUAGUUUUUCAUAGACAACAUGUUGACUAUGAUUAAUCAUGUAGCUUACUCGCUUAUGCUAUUUUACCUACGCUUAGGAUGUUGAUCUCUCACAGUCGAGC
rnacentral:rRNA from 1 species